CUUGUCAAGAUCCCCUGGGAGUAACCUGCCAUCUUUAGGCUGUGUUGGAGAACCAUCACUUCAUGGAGCCUUGCUGUCAGUAGUUGGAGCUGUCUUUGUGGUGGUUCGGGUUCUGUUGGAGUCCAUGAUCUAUAGUUCAAACUAUGGUUCUUCUCAACUGGUGGGUUUUUAGCCCAGUUGUGUAGCCCAGUGCUUCACUAUCUCCAGGAGUGGAGUGGCCCGGUGGAUGACCUGGUUUCUUGCCAAUUUCACUGACUGAAGCAUCAUGGGAGACUGAAAUAUCUAGACAGCAGUGAGAGCCUGUUGGUCCUCGAGACAGAAGGCUUGGAGAAGUGAUGCAGAAUAUUGUAACAUUGGAACAGCAAGUUACUGGUCUUCACUCUUGCUACAGGAGUGACUUCACUCUCCCUCGAUGGAGAGAGAGAACCUGUCUGAGAUACUGAAGUGUUGCAAUAGGGACUGUAGCUUUGAUGGCCUCUGGAUCAAGGUCUCUUUGGAUGAAUGGAUGAAGCAAAGAGGAAAAGGGCACCUUGCAAAUCAAAAACUGCUAGACAGGCUAAAGGGCACCUCCCUAAACCUUAGUAAUUUGUGUAAAGGGACCUGUUAAGCCAAAUUGGUCCAAUCAACCUUAUAUAGUAACACUAUGGAUGAGUGAAAAGCAACCAUAACAAUACCGUAUUCUGAACAGUUAAUAAAUAAAAACAAUG